rnacentral:tRNA from 1 species
GGGGAAUUAGCUCAGCUGGCCAGAGCACUAGCUUUGCAAGCUAGGAGUCAUCGGUUCGAAUCCGAUAUUCUCCA